rnacentral:rRNA from 1 species
AACGAACGCUGGCGGCGGGCUUAACACAUGCAAGUCGAACGCCCCGCAAGGGGAGUGGCAGACGGGUGAGUAACGCGUGGGAACAUACCCUUUUCUACGGAAUAGCUCUGGGAAACUGGAGUUAAUACCGUAUACGCCCUACGGGGGAAAGAUUUAUCGGGGAAGGAUUGGCCCGCGUUGGAUUAGCUAGUUGGUGGGGUAAAGGCCUACCAAGGCGACGAUCCAUAGCUGGUCUGAGAGGAUGAUCAGCCACAUUGGGACUGAGACACGGCCCAAACUCCUACGGGAGGCAGCAGUGGGGAAUAUUGGACAAUGGGCGCAAGCCUGAUCCAGCCAUGCCGCGUGAGUGAUGAAGGCCUUAGGGUUGUAAAGCUCUUUCACCGAUGAAGAUAAUGACGGUAGUCGGAGAAGAAGCCCCGGCUAACUUCGUGCCAGCAGCCGCGGUAAUAC